UGCUCAGUGCACCGAAUGAUGACGUGGCAAGAUUCGCCAACGCGCAGAUAAAUAGAGCAACCAUAUGACCCCCUUAAGGUAGCCAAAUGCCUCGUCUUCCAAUUAGAGACGCGCAUGAAU
rnacentral:ncRNA from 1 species